rnacentral:rRNA from 1 species
CCUACGGGAGGCUGCAGUGAGGAAUAUUGGUCAAUGGGCGAGAGCCUGAACCAGCCAAGCCGCGUGAGGGACGACGGUCCUAUGGAUUGUAAACCUCUUUUGUCGGGGAACAAAGGCGCCCACGGGUGGGCGGAUGAGUGUACCCGAAGAAAAAGCAUCGGCUAACUCCGUGCCAGCAGCCGCGGUAAUACGGAGGAUGCAAGCGUUAUCCGGAUUUAUGGGGUUUAACGGGUGCGUAGGCGGACAGUCAAGUCAGCGGUAAACAUGCGGUGCUCAACGCCGUACAGCCGUUGAAACUGGCAGUCUUGAGUGGGCGAGAAGUAUGCGGAAUGCGUGGUGUAGCGGUGAAAUGCAUAGAUAUCACGCAGAACUCCGAUUGCGAAGGCAGCAUACCGGCGCCCUACUGACGCUGAGGCACGAAAGCGUGGGUAUCGAACAGGAUUAGAUACCCGUGUAGUC